AGGUACAGAGACAAUAUCGGCCUCCUUCUCUCUAAAGUUGCACCAUGGCCAGCUUACCUGAGUACACCUUUGGAUGGAUGCUGGGAAGACAACUUCAUUUCAUCUUUCCUGCCACUAUACUGACUGACAAGGAAUUCAGCUCAAGGUCACUGUGUAACCUGACAGCCUGAUGGACAUGACACCUUAGAUUCAGACUGGCUUCAAGAGCUGUGAGAAAGCCCAUUGGCUUCAAACCCCAUGGAGAGCUGCUGCCCAAAGGUCUAACAAGCUGUCAGCCUAAAUGUUGUUACAGAAUGUCCCUCCCUUCUUUCUCAGCACCCUUGUCAGUAAGUGCAUGGAGAUGUAGGUGGAACUGUCUGCCCUGUUGUUAUCUUCCAUGGAAAUAAUGAAGAAGAAACCAGAGGAAAACAAGGAAGUGGGAUUUAUUCCAUCACAACCAAGGGUUCUGCUCACACUUCUACAAGUCUGCAGUUUGCAGAGACUAUGGCCCAGAGAAAUUUUAAGUGAAUAAGUUGCUAAGAGUUUGUUGUGGUGGAGGGUGGAAAAAAAAUGAGAUCAAUUUUAUCAGUCAGAGUUUAGGUGACAUUUGAGAAAUGCUAAAUUAACCUUCAAAAUGUCUCCAAAUGUCUUGUUUAGGAGAAAAAGAAAGGACAUUCAGUCUGGGUAAAACAGACAAUGAAUGAGUGCAUGUAAACAAAUUCCCUAAAGCAUUCAUAAAUGCAUUUCCUCAGCCUCCAGUAUUACAUCGGGUAAUGAAUUAUUUUCACAUCUGCCUUAUUGAACAAAAAAUACCACCAUCUGAGCUUGAAGGUGAAGAGGGAGCAAUAUAUUUAAACUAAACCUGGAUGUAGUUUGAACACAGAGAGACUAUUUAAAAAAAAUCUCUGCACAUUCACAAUAUUGCUUCCCUGUUCCAAUUAGAAAAAAUG